AUUGAACGCUGGCGGCAUGCUUUACACAUGCAAGUCGAACGGCAGCGCGGGGGCAACCCUGGCGGCGAGUGGCGAACGGGUGAGUAAUGCAUCGGAACGUAUCCUGUAAUGGGGGAUAACGUAGCGAAAGUUACGCUAAUACCGCAUACGCUCGAGAGAGGAAAGUGGGGGAUCGCAAGACCUCACGUUAUAGGAGCGGCCGAUGUCCGAUUAGCUAGUUGGUGGGGUAAAGGCCUACCAAGGCGACGAUCGGUAGCUGGUCUGAGAGGAUGAUCAGCCACACUGGGACUGAGACACGGCCCAGACUCCUACGGGAGGCAGCAGUGGGGAGUUUUGGACAAUGGGCGGAAGCCUGAUCCAGCCAUGCCGCGUGAGUGAAGAAGGCC
rnacentral:rRNA from 1 species